AGCCGAGCUCCUACAGUGGAUGGAUUCUAGACGAGCUUCUACAACGAGAUAGGCUCCACCAGCCAGGUCACUACUCCAAGCUUCCAUGACCAUCGAUCUUCGAUCAAGCUUCUACAAUAAGCGGCCUCCUUUCAGCUUUCUACAAGAAUCAGACUCCAUCUGAACUUCCAUAGCGGAUGGAUUCCAGAUGAACUUCUAUAACAGACGGG
rnacentral:lncRNA from 1 species